rnacentral:sRNA from 1 species
GGGAGGCUUUUGGACCGAGUUGAUGGAGAUGAAACUAAGUAAUGGAAGUUCCCGGUUCAGGUGGCCAUUCCACCGGGAUCGGCUACCAGAGGAUUUGUAACUUAGAAUAGCUUACAAAUUAGGAUGCUAGUUGCUGUGCCCAGCGAUUGGGUUACCUGCUGAUUCUAAACGAAGUUUGUGUGGUGCUUUCCUUCACACAGCAACUCAACUGAUUUCCAGAGAGAAAGGAUCUGGAGAACCAAACUCAACUCCUUCAUCUUCUGAGCUACCUCCUCAGGCCCCAUUGAAAGAUAUCUUAAGAUUAUGAUCUCAGCAAAAACAGAAGACUCCGAUAGCACGAUACAGAAUAAUGAGAUGGGGAAAACAGGACCAGAGCAAAAGCUUGAAUUCUGAGCGUCAUGAACCACGUGAAGAUGUGGGAGCCACGCAUUCGUUCCAAGUAGCGCACGCGCAGAGGAAACAAGGAGUGUGGAGAGGACUGGAGGGAUGGCCGCUGAGGUGAAAGAAGGCUCAACUUUCUCCCCCCACUGGAUCAGAUGUGCGUUCUUGGUUCACUGAUGAAGAUCCUCCCAAUCUACCGAGGAGUUCUGGGAACUGAAGACUCACGCUUUCACUAAGGAGGCAGACAUGGUAUGCAGAACUUGUGAGCUCUUGCAUCAGAUCUGAGAACAGUCAAUGUAGCACGAGCACCGUACAGCAUUUGGGGGGAACACUAUGAGAUGACACAAAACGGGACCUCAGCUUACAGGCAUUAAGAAAACCCACUCCCUCUCCUACCAGGUGAGAUAGCAAAUUCCGAAACAGAGCAGUCUGUGCUCACCAUCUCCAAAGCCAUGUUGGAAGCAAGGUGAACGCAUGGGUGAUCUUGCCACUCUCUGUGCCUUCACACUGAUCGUUCAGAGCAGAGCAUCUCUUGAUGAUGUAGGACCACAGAAGACUAAGCAAGUUAGCAAGGUCCAUUGGCCUUGUUCAUCAGUCUUUUUUAUUUUUAAUAUAUGUGACAUAUAUCUGGAAUAAAAAGAAC